rnacentral:misc_RNA from 1 species
AAGUCGUAACAAGGUAUCCGUAGGUGAACCUGCGGAUGGAUCAUUAAAACCAAAAAGCUAACGUGCUUCAAACCCACGUUACUAACCCAAACCUUUGUGCACCCGUUCCGACAAAACGCGGUCGCGAGUGAUAGCUGCUUGACCGGGGUCGAGUCUGGCACUUCCCCUCGUGGGAGAGUGUGGCUGGGUCUUUCACCUUUGGUGAGAAGAAAGAGCUUAUGACUUGUCGCAGCGCUUUAACUCAUUCGUUGACAGCGUUUUACUUUUUUUUUUCCCUUUCUCGCCAAACUUUUUUUAACCCAUUGAACUAUAUUUUCCUUUCUUUAGUUGUACGACACGUUUUUCUACGCUGGUCUUUGUGUGGUAACUCGCACGAAGCACUAGUGAUAUAAGAAACGCAAGAACAACUCUUAGCAACGGAUAUCUAGGUUCUC